AGCGAGGGAUGGGCGGCUGGACAUUAAUCGAUGAACAGAGGACAUGAUGUAACUAGUGACAUGGUGGUUAGAUUGCUGCACUCUGCUGGAUGUGCAUAAUCUAAAGUUUAAACGGAAGUAUAAACCUGAAAAAUGUCUCAUGCUCUUUUGUUUUGUCAGGCAGCGUUUGUAAGUGGAAAUGUCAAGCCUGUCAGCAGCCAGUGUGGAGGCUUCACCAGCAAUAGAGGAAGCAGUGCAGAAGAAACCUCUCAAACCAUGCUGUGCGUGUCCUGACACCAAAAAAGCACGAGAUGCAUGCAUAAUUGAAAAGGGAGAAGAAAGCUGCACAGGCCUCAUCGAAGCGCACAAGGAGUGCAUGAGGGCACUUGGUUUUAAGAUAUAAUACUACCAUCAUCAUCAUCAGAUUGAGUGAAUGCUUGUCAGGCCCUGAUCCUCAUGUUGUUGUAUGAAACAGAGCAGCUCAGAUAUUCUGCUAAAACUCUGCAUUGCGAAUGACAACCUGUGUGAAAUGGGACCCGGUGUGAUCAUUUAUUUAUAUUUCUACACUGCAGAGAAGAUUAUGCAGGACUGCAUUUAUUCCUCUAAGGGAAAUGUCUGUCUUUUCUGUCUCUUUCUUUCAUAUACGAUUUGUGUACAUUUAUGGUCAAUAAAGAUCCUAUGCAAGACGUUAAUCCAUUCUCUUUUCUUGUGUCUUCACCUCUUAUUUGUAUGCAAUGCGCAGAGAUUCUUAUAACAAGGCUGGCUUUCUCUUUUUACAGCCUAUUUUAAAUUAUUCAGUCUAAUCAACAUGUAUCACAUGCUAGAUUUACUUAUUUUAUCACAUUAAAUUAUUUAUGAAGUAGUGUCUGUUGACACACUGCAGGCCAAGCAGUUUUACGCAAACA
rnacentral:lncRNA from 1 species